rnacentral:lncRNA from 1 species
UAGGAGCAGGCAAUAGGAUUUUAAAAGUACUGUGAAUUGACUGAGUAGUGAAGAGCGAGGAGAGCACUGCUGCCUCCCUGAAGUAUCUUCUUUCACGGAGGGGAAAAAACCAAACAUCCUAUUUGAACGAUUUGAGAGAUUAAAGAAAACCUUCCUAGAAACAGAUUUCCUAGAAUAGGGUGACAAAGGGAAAAUUCCCAUCACACCCCCAACCUGAGAGGGGGAAAGAAGCUUUCUUCCAGUUUGGCAUUGUGAUGACAAUCUUGCUUUGCACGUUAAAAAAUGCAACCUUUCUUAGGCUGCACUUGAAUUUUAGCCUGAAACACACCAACUGCCCAAGUGAAGGGGAAAAAAAAUAAGGUACACAUUUUAAUAUUCACUAAAGCAAAGUGAGUAUUGGGGUUCUCUGUAUGAGUCAUUGCAGGGGAGCGCCCACCUUUGCCGCAGGACUGCUUGCUGAGGACUAAUUGGAACCUCUCUGCUCUGAAUAACCUACAUUCAUUAAUCACCCCUUGCUUGACUCUGGCCUCAAUCCUGCUCCCAUUGAACUCAGAGGUGCAAUCCUGGGGAUUUCAAAGGGGAGCCGGAUCCCACUGUUCUCCCACAGGUAAAAACCGGGUGGAAUGCUGCCCGGGCCAGGCAAUUGGGUGUCAAAAGGUACCCGAGAGAAUCAUCUACAACGGUGAUGUGAAAAUCCCUGUUACCUGAGGUCAAAAAUAAAAGUUUUCAAAGAGGCUCUGAAGGACCUUUUUAGAGCUCCAAGGGCAGGAUGAGGCAAUGAUGGAC